UAAAUGGAGAAAAGUUUCAAAGAGACUAAAUCAAAGACGCUAAGAGAAAAGCCUGUGCGCCAGAAAAGUGCUUCAUUAAACAUGCAGGAGAAGCUGCAUGAAUUUCAGACGGUUCUGUCUUUGGCUGAGAAGAACUUGGUAGAAGACAAUGAGAGGACAGUCUGCCACUGCCUAAAGACUACCUAGUACUUCAUCAGUUUUCCCUGGUUUUCCAUACACGCUCUAAGAAGGCAUGUAACCCAUGAAGUAAGAAGAUUUUUUGCAUAAAUAUAGUGGAGGAUUACCCUGGAUUCAGAAGGUCCGGUACUGCUCAGGAGGUAGGAAGCUCAAUUUUUAUUUUCAUUGCUACUAUAUGACAUGCUAUAUCUGAGAAUAUGUCCUGUGAAACCAAAAGGCAUGAUAAAAACCAGGUUAUUCAGGAUUGAAUUGAGAUUUUACUCAAUGAAGGCAAGAAAUUAAAGGUUUUGAAAAUAAGAUUUAAUAGGCAAGCAGACAUUUCAAUCAAUGCCAAAAUAUUCAUCUUUGUAUAUACAGAGUGAGAAAAUUCACAUAUAUAUAUAUGUAUAUAUAUAUAUAUAUAUAAAAGAAAAUUUAAAAAUUUUGAAAUAUUUUAUAAAUAUCUAAAAUUCAAGAAGUUAAAAAUCUGUACUUCCUUACAUGAUAUACAACAUAUUAAGUUGCACAUAUUUAACCUUUCAUAAGAGAAAGUUAAUUCUUUACUCCUUAUGGCUACAUUUGUGAUCUAGAUUCCUGAACUGAAUUCCUGGUCUGAAGAAUUCAAGAUGCAAAUAAGUAGGCACAACAGUGAAAAGAAUUAUAGCAAAGUAAGUCAGAUCAACUAAACUAUGCUUGGAGUAUGUAGAUCAAAACAACCAGAAUGAAAAAAAAGUGGCCCCUACUACUAAACAAUAAUAUAAAAAGACUCAGAACAGUAUGUUUAUUCUACUAAAUAAAUACUGUUUCUAGUGCUUAUAGAAUCAGAAUAGUGUGGUAACAUCUUCCCACAACAGAUUUUCUCAUCUAUCUCUUUGUUAUUAGGAUGUAAAGGUUUGAACACUGUCAAUGAUCUGCAAAAAACACUAAUUUUUUUCCUCCAAAAUUACUCUUUUCAAAUUUUUUUUUCUGUUUAAAAAAA